AAAAAAUGGCUCUGAUCAACCUUAAACACUUGCUGUUGUCGUUCCUUAUUGGAGCAUUAAUUCUUUCCACAGCCCCUUCAUUUGAUGCUCAAACGCUGCCGCCUGGGGGGCAUCAUCCCCCGAGGCCUCCUAAUUCAGAAAGAAAAUUAAUAGCUUUAGGUGCUGUUAAACCUCCCAAUGGAGCAUUACCAAAGUUAUUCCCAGGGCAAAAGCCAUUAGCUGUUCAAGUUCGUAGGUGCUGUUAAAAAGCAGCUUUCCAUCCUCAACUUGGGUAUGGCCUGAUGGAUCAUAUUCAUAGAUGAGUGCAUAUAUCAUAUGCUCAGAAUAUGCAUGAUUCUAUGUAUCCUUUAUACACUAUAUU
rnacentral:misc_RNA from 1 species